UAGAACUAUUUCAUUCUGUAUACCAAUUAAGAAGAAUAAGAUGAUGAUAGAGUGACUAAUAAAUAUUAGAAUAGCUUACAAAAGAGGUGUGACCAUUUUUAAUCUUCUAAGAAAUAGGUUUUCAGUGCAGAGAAACCAGCAGGCAAGUAUAUAUAUGAAAUCUCAAUAAGUGACAACUGGACAAGCCAGAAUAAUAUUUAUAUAGGCUAUAGGGAAAGAAACUUUGCAACAAAGAUUAAAGAACAUCAGAGAUAUAUAUGCCAGGAAAAACAUUUGUAGCUUUAGGAGUUAGAGCUCUAGAGACAGAUCUAAUUAUAGAUUGGCAGACUUCUAAAGUUUACAACAAUUUCAAAAAAAAUCCUAAGGAUAUGUUGCAAAGGCCUUAUGUAUUGCAAAAAAAUUUGAAAAACAGCUAUGUCUUAAACCAGGGGUCUCCAAACUACGGCCCGCGGGCCAGAUGCGGCCCACGAUAUAAUUUUAUCCGGCCCGCCAAUUGAACUAUUUAUCUCUAUUUUUGGGAUGAUGUAUCUUUUCAAACAA
rnacentral:lncRNA from 1 species